UUGUUUGGAAACCUUGGAAAGUGCACCUUUUGCACCGGCCGAGUAUCUUUUCUUGGCUAUGUUGUUACUCCACUGGGAAUUGAAGUUGAUAAAGCCAAGAUUGAAGCUAUUGAGAGUUGGUCGCAGCCCAAAAUGGUCACACAAGUGAGGAGUUUCCUUGGCCUCGCUGGUUUCUAUAGGCGUUUUGUGAGAGAUUUCAGCACCAUUGCUGCACCUCUCAACGAGCUUACAAAGAAGGAUGUGCCUUUUGUUUGGGGUAUCGCACAGGAAGAAGCCUUCACAGUAUUGAAAGAUAAGUUGACACAUGCUCCUUUACUCCAACUUCCUAAUUUCAAUAAGACUUUUGAGCUUGAAUGUGAUGCUAGUGGAACUGGAUUAGGAGGUGUGUUAUUACAAGAUGGAAAACCUGUUGCAUACUUUUCUGAAAAAUUG
rnacentral:rRNA from 1 species